rnacentral:misc_RNA from 1 species
UCCUUUUGAUGAAUUCGAGGUGGACCGUUGCAUUCUUCCACAAAACUCAACUACUGUAUUUGCUUCCAUUCCUGGUCCUUCCAUUUUUUUGGUCGUGGAAGGAGAGGGAACGAUGACCACAUCAUCGAACAAGGUAGUUGCUGAAGGUGAUGUCUUAUUUGCAUCUGCAAAUACCAGUAUUACUGUUGCAACCAUGUCUGGUUUGCAUCUAUGUAGAGCAGGAGUUAG